rnacentral:sRNA from 1 species
UGAUGAUGAUGAUGGUGAGGAUGAUGAUUCACCAUGAAACCACCAUUACUCCUUUCUUCUUGUUCUUGUUGUUGAUGUUCUGAUGAGGAUGAUGACGUCAUAGUUAAGUCGUGAUGAUUCC